GCCUCAAUAGCUCAGUCGGUAGAGCACUUCACUCGUAAUGAAGGGGUCGCAGGUUCAAGUCCCGUUUGAGGCU
rnacentral:tRNA from 1 species